UGAAGCAACGACAAAUUCUCAAAAAUUAAUGCAUCUUUCUCCAACUUCUCUUCAUCUAUUUAUGCAUAAGGAUGCGAUUGUUUUCGAUUAUUGAAGCGGGUAGAAGAGAUCAAGAGAAGAAGUGCACGAGACUAGAUAUGAGAGCGACAACAUGAACGAUAUGAACGAUAUAUCUGGUGAUGAUCAGGAUGCCAAACCGUCAAGGGAUAAGAGAUCUACCAGUCAUAGAUAAGGCACAUUGCGAUUCGAAGUCCCGUCGUCUUUGUUUUCCCGUAGCACAGCCUCCUCAGCUCUCCAAUUUUGAGAUCGCGAAAAUGUGUGGCCACAUUUGAAAUUAAAACCCAUUUCUUAAAGUUGAUGGGGGUUGCCCUAAUUUCAAGCCAAAGGUAGACCAAUCGGCUGGCUGUUUCCAGCAAUUGAAUGGGGAAAAAUUUGGGCUCGCGUCAGGGAUUGUAAAUUCGACGACGAAAGAUGGUGAAAUUUUGAAGCGUGGAGUAUCCUCGAGAUAUUGAAACUGAUUUGGAUGUAUAACUAUAGUUAACAAAGCUGGAGCAAGAUAAGGAGGCAAGAGCGAUUGGGGCGGAGGUCGAUGCAGCAGUGAAGUGGAAUGUUUGGAGAUACAAAUGUUCCAACACAAGGUAGAUAAGCCUAAACUGUGAACUAUGAUUAAUCUCUAAUUUUAGUCGUCUAGCUGUUUAAUUUUGGCUUAGUGCACAUUUAUCUGAAAGUCAUAGAUCUAGAUGUGAAUAGUGUUUUGUAAGAUUAAGAUAAACACAUAACUGAAGAAGCUCAUGAAUCAUUUCUAUGACCCUCAAUUAGUUGAUUUGAACUCAAACAAUUGUUUCAGUGAAUUUAAUUGAACCAUGUUUCUAGAAAACAAGUUGAUAAGGUUUCUUAUAGUUUUUUGUACCUUGCAAUUUAUAAGUGAAGUUCUUGCAUGAACAUGAGGUAAUAUUUCUAUGUCUGUCCUUUUGAUUUUUUUUUGUUUCUUUAAAAUGUUCAUUGUAUGAUAAAUGAAAACAUAUUAGAAAGUGUUGUAUGUAGGCACAUUAUUUAUGUAGUUAAACUGUUGUGUUGUAUAUUUUGGUAUCAAGCAAUAUCUUCAAGUUGCGAAAGAAUUUACUUUAGUGCAUAUCCUACAAGAAAAUGAAUAUUAGGUGUUUUCGAGGAGGGGAAAUUAUAUUAAUUUGCAAGCAGUCUAUUUGAAAAUAAUAAACAACCGUAUAGCUUGAAGAGGCAUAGGCUCUAAGCUUUCGAGUUUAUUACGAUCAAUCUAGCUGAAUUUGGUUUACUGAUAGAGAAAUUAAGGAAAGUUUGGUAAUCAGAGGAGGUUCGAUCGAGCAUGGGCCUUAACAUGUCGGAAGAGGGAUGGGAGGAACGUCAGGAGCAUGGAUCCGUUCAUGUCUUCGAAGCUUUUGGUGGUGCUUCUAUGCUAAAGGGGAAGUAAAUAAAAAGGACAAGAAUUAAGUUCCGGAAGUGACAAAGUAACUAAUAAGUAGGGAUAUGGAGUUGGGCGGCGAUGGGAAGGGACUCGCUACAGAAGAAGUCUAUGAUGAAGGCGGAGACAGGGGAGAUGGAGUCCAGGGUGCACCGGACGUUGGGGUUGCUGUAGCGGAGGACCUCGAAGAUGAUUGCCUCCAUGGAGGGGAAGGCGUGAAGGUCGAGAGACACAUCGGAGAGGUGGUGGAAGGUGAUGGAGGGGACAGUGGUGGACGUAGUCCAUGGUUGAGCCGGUGUUGAAGGAGGGUGGCGCCACUAGGAUGAUGAUGGAUAGGGAGAGGUGGUGGUGGAGGAUGAAUUUGUCGAGCUCCACCAUGGACACCAGCUGGCCCAUUCUUGGAGAUGGGUAGAGGACUAUCAUCUUCAACUUCACUUAAUUCAUCUCAUGCAUGCUGCUUAUAUAUCAUCUAGCUACUAAUCAAGAUCACUACUGCUCAAUGUUUGAAGACAAUAAUGACCACAAUUUCACCUACCUUGGCAUAUAAACAUUGGCAUUUAUUAGAAUAUACCAGAAAUAUGUUAGUUAGCUUCUUCAUAACAGACUCAGUUAGAGUAGCAAACAAUUUUAAUGAGGUGGCAAGAUUAGUUAAAAGAUAUUUUAACUUAAAUGUAGAUGCAGUAUUGUAGCUCUAUAAAUAGAGCAUUAUCAAGAUGAAUAAAGUAAUCUCAUUUUCAUUCUUUA